CUUCACUGCUACCCUCUGCCUUAACCCUUAAAACACCAUUUAGGUGGCCGGCCCUCCUUUGCCCCCCUUAAAUAGGGUAAAACUCACCUACUUACUCCAGCGCCACACAGGUGUACCAAGGCUGGCUCAACCCCCGCUCUGCCUCCCUGGCUGGGAUUAUCAUAGGUAAGCAUGGGAGACUUAUGCGCUCGCGCGGAUAGUUGUUCUGGUGACUAUAGUGUCUCUUUAACAUUAUCCCUUUAAAGCUAAAAAUCUAGUUUAAGUACGGAACUGUAUUCUUAAGGCGGCUUUUUAUAUACUGCAAUUUACACAGCCAUCUCCAACACAUAUAAACAGUGUAGGAUUUUUUUGUAUUGUUUUUAUGAUGACUCACGUUUCCCAGCCAUGAUUAAAGGACACUGUAGCGGAAUGGACGCUCUUAAUACAUUUAAUACAUUUUUAUUCCCUUUUGUUCAGCUGUCCGUACACCCCCGUUCGUUUACCGAACCAACUCUGUGUGGUCCCCUUGUUUUCACCAUUUAAG